GUAGGGUGCAGGCGUUAAUCGGAAUUACUGGGCGUAAAGCGUGCGCAGGCGGCCUCCUAAGUCAGAUGUGAAAUCCCCGGGCUCAACCUGGGAACUGCGUUUGAAACUGGGAGGCUAGAGUGCGGCAGAGGGGGGUGGAAUUCCACGUGUAGCAGUGAAAUGCGUAGAUAUGUGGAGGAACACCGAUGGCGAAGGCAGCCCCCUGGGCCAGCACUGACGCUCAUGCACGAAAGCGUGGGGAGCAAACAGGAUUAGAUACCCUGGUAGUCCACGCCCUAAACGAUGUCGACUAGUUGUUGGGGGAGUCUGUCCCUCAGUAACGUAGCUAACGCGUGAAGUCGACCGCCUGGGGAGUACGGUCGCAAGAUUA
rnacentral:rRNA from 1 species